rnacentral:lncRNA from 12 species
UCAUGUAUCAAGGAUUAUAACUAAUUCAUUUGUGUGCAGUUGACCUUGAGCCCACGAGGAAAAAAAGAAGUGAAUGACAUGAUAUAUGUAGUCUCCUAAUGUCAAGUGGAAAAAAAUGCAUCAAACUGUAUAUUUAGCAGGACUCCAAAGCCCUAUAAUGCAAAUGUGUGCGGCGGUGAUGGGGCGGGGGGGACCCGCUUCCCGAUGCCAGGGAUGCAGCAGAGAGGAAAAGGACAUCUCUGUGGAACUCACAUCCUAGAUGGGAGACUGGGAACCAGAGAACUGGGUGCUUAAAAGAACAGAAAAUGUAAAGGCCAGCAUGAUGUACGUAGUACUUUCUAGAGUAUAGUACCUAUAUUUCUAUACCUAUAUAUCUAUAUUUUUGCUAGAUGCACAAAGAUGACUGGAUCUUUAAAUAUUAUCUGAAUUUACUGCUUCUGAUGCUUGAUUCUGCUCAAAGCACCUCAGACAAGAAGACAUUCUCUGUCUGCUCAAAAUCUCCCGUAAUGUGG